CAGGCCUAACACAUGCAAGUCGAACGGUAAGGCCCCUUCGGGGGUACACGAGUGGCGAACGGGUGAGUAACACGUGAGCAACCUGCCCUUGACUCUGGAAUAACAGUUGGAAACAGCUGCUAAUACUGGAUAUGCACUUAUCUUCUCCUGGGGGUGAGUGGAAAGCUCCGGCGGUCAGGGAUGGGCUCGCGGCCUAUCAGCUUGUUGGUGAGGUAAUGGCUCACCAAGGCUUCGACGGGUAGCCGGCCUGAGAGGGCGACCGGCCACACUGGGACUGAGAUACGGCCCAGACUCCUACGGGAGGCAGCAGUGGGAAUAUUGCACAAUGGGCGCAAGCCUGAUGCAGCAACGCCGCGUGCGGGAUGACGGCCUUCGGGUUGUAAACCGCUUUCAGUUCCGACGAAGCGAAAGUGACGGUAGGGACAGAAGAAGGACCGGCUAACUACGUGCCAGCAGCCGCGGUAAU
rnacentral:rRNA from 1 species